rnacentral:rRNA from 1 species
AUUGAACGCUGGCGGCAGGCCUAACACAUGCAAGUCGAACGAGUGGCGGACGGGUGAGUAAUGUCUGGGAAACUGCCCGAUGGAGGGGGAUAACUACUGGAAACGGUAGCUAAUAACGCAUACCAUCGGAUGUACCCAGAUGGGAUUAGCUAGUAGGUGGGGUAAUGGCUAACCUAGGCGACGAUCCCUAGCUGGUCUGAGAGGAUGACCAGCCACACUGGGACGGAGACACGGCCCAGACUCCUACGGGAGGCAGCAGUGGGGAAUAUUGCACAAUGGGCGCAAGCCUGAUGCAGCCAUGCCGCGUGUAUGAAGAAGGCCUUCGGGUUGUAAAGUACUUUCAGCGGGGAGGCGUUACUCGCAGAAGAAGCACCGGCUAACUCCGUGCCAGCAGCCGCGGUAAUUC